GCUGCGACAGCUGACCCCAACUGACCAAAGGGAUAUUCCAUACCAUAUGAUGUCAUGCUCAGCAUAUAAAGCUGGGGAAGAAGAAGGAAGUGGGGGACAUUUAGAGUGAUGGCGUUUGUCUUCCCAAGUAGCUGUUACACUUGAUGGAGCCCUGCUGUCCUGGAGAUGGCUGAACACCUGCCUGCCGACGGGAAGUAGUGAAUUAAUUUCUUGUUUUGCUUUGCUUGCACGUGUGGCUUUUGCUUUACCUAUUGAACCGUCUUUGUCACAACCCAUGAGUUUCCUCACUUUUAUUCUUCUCAUUCUCUCCCCUAUCCCAGUGUGAGGGGAGUGAGCAAGCAGCUGCAUGGGGCUUGGCUGCUGACUGGGGCUAAACCACGACAGUAUUUAAACACAUCAACUUUUAAUCUACCACAGCAGUCGUCUGAAACAGUAAGUGGAUAUAACUUGAGUCAACACUUGAUUGGCCAGUGGAGGUGUAUUAAUAGUUAACAUAAACACUAACUUAAAUGGGAGGUGUGGACCUGGUGGGGAGACACUCGAGAGAACAGAACUAUUUGUUUUUUGGGCACAAAGUGGAUUUUCCUGCUUUAUAAGCUACUUAGAGAGAAAAACUCUCCCUUUUAAUAGGAGCGUGGUGCUUACAGUUUUUAUUUUAAAUAACUUCUAUUUCUAUGGAAAGAUGCAUAUCUUCAGCUCUCUUAGAGGGAAAAUGGGAAAUUGUAGAGGUGGCUUGAUUACAGCUGAAGUAUUUUGAAAGGGAAAUUCAAAUUUUAACUACUCAGCAAUGGCAAUUUGUGACUUAGGAAAGAUCUGGCACAGAGAGCAAGGAAGGCCUGACUGCUGAACGGGUUAAGCCAUCAGGGAGCAGGAACACUAGAAACAGAAUGACUCCAUCCAACUGAGGAAACUCUCCCUUGCUGAUAAGAUAAGAAAUACCAUAGUAACUGUUGUGUAACAAUUGAUCCAGCAUAAGAGGGCUUAGCAGCCACCUUUGGCCAGCAGAGCUGACAGAAUUUUGUCGGUUAAGUUUGUCUGCCAACUGUUUUCCUAAUAAUCAAAUUCUAGUACUUUCCCUACACUAAUAAUUUGCAUUUCCGUAACUCGUAUGGAAAUUAAAUACUUGGCGCUACCUUAUCCACUCUGUUGUGUUUUAUAGCAUCUUGCACUUCUUGCGUGUUUUAAUUGCAUGAAAAGUUCGUUAGGCAGUAAUGACAAAGGAAUUUUACAACACUAGUGGCACAUUCUCCUUUCAUGACUGCAACGAAUACAUAUGAACUAGAUAGGAAACCUUGGCAGAAACAAAAGUGACAUUAGUUUAUACCUGUAUUAUACAAAAUUAUCAACAUGAAUGAAGUAACACAGCUGGGCAGCAGCUUCAUUCUCAUCUUUUUCUCUGGUAUUCAUUGUGCCUUUUAUUUAAACAAAAAGUGUGGUUUUUCUUACUAAAUAACCUGUUUCAGAUAGUUAAGCAACUUCUUACCACCAUUCUGUCAUUGUUUUCUCUUCCUAUACAAAACAGGCCACUCCUUCCUCAUCCCGUCUCCCCACACAUCUGUUAUUGCAAAAUCCUCCUAUGCCACUGUGCAGUUUUAGAAGUGUUUAGUAUUUUUGCUGGGGGAAAACACACAUUUGUUUCCCUCCUCCUCAUUGUUUUUUCCUUCAAAAAGGCAUAAGCUGGGCCUAGAAUUCAGAGCAGCUGUGGAUGCCUCCAUUUCUCAGCCUAGAGACAAUCACACAGUGUCAGAGAGCAACAACGGCUGGCAGCUCCACAAGCGACAAGCAGCGGGGACCUGGGGGGGAGAAGACAGCUGGCAGGUGUCCAUGAGUCAGGGGUUGACACAGAAGUUGGAAGCUCUGACGUUAAAAGAUCUCCCCCUCUUUGCCUCCUCAGAGCACAGAGGGCAGCAAGACAGAGGCAGCUUGAUUGUCUAAGGAACUGGAUAGCCACGCAUGUUCUACAGAUUCACAGUUGUCUGCACCUCUGGAGAUGGACCAUACCCAUAAAUGAUUACAUGAGCAUGAACUCAGUUAUAUCAUGCUUGCAAACCCAAAGCAUGGAUCACCUGAAGCAAGUAAUCACUUAGAACACGAUCUACUCUUCCUUAAAGCUGAAAGGCUGAUUUCUGGCAGCAAGAGAAUGGCUACAGGCAAAGUCCAGAAAUAUAAAGGAUACUUCCUCCAAUUCAUUACUAUCUGCACUUUCUUAUGCACAACUCUGUUUUAGUUGACGCAAAAUGGGUGUCUUCAUCCUUCCUAAUAGGCUUAUCUGACUUGUUCUCACAUCUGAGAUCCCCUGAGAAACUUUGAUUCUUUUCUUUUUUCUCUACGCGCCCCCUAAGGAAAGGUCUCUUACAUUUUCAGACUUUCAUAAACAAAUGUUCAUAGUAAUAGAUCACAGCUAGGGAAAUACCACAACAACCAUUACUGAUUUCAGAAGAAAAAAAUAAUGCAUUUUACCAGUGUCAUCACUUACAUACCUAGCACAACCUGACAUCUAAAGCAGGAACUAACUUGUUGAAGAUUUCAUUUUGGUUUUUCUCUCCCAGAUUACAAAACAAGAGGCUUGGACAUAAUGAGCAUUUAAUGAGCUCUUCGGUACUCAUGUUUGAGUGUUGUAUCACAAAAGCAUGUUACCUUAUAAUGAAAUACUGCAAUGAGGAAGUAGUCCUAUUUGUCCCCUGCAAUUUGCCUCUAUAACGAUAAUAAUGACAAUCUGCAAUAUAGUGAUAAUUGCUUUUUCCUUCCUCCUGUGCUCAUGGUUCACUUUCUAUCCUGUUGCCUAUGAGGAGGAGAGCAAUUCCAAUCAAUUUUCCCAUUUAAACUGAUGCUAUCAAUGAAGAGAACCAUUUGGUAGAUGUAAGCAACACUUAUUGAUGCUUCCUUUAUAAAAUAUUUACAGUGAAAUUCUGGACGUGACCCUGGAGGAAAAUUGUAUAGAUCCAAGUGAUUGCCAGGACUAAAACUAAUAAAAAAGUCUUGCAACAGUCUUCCUGUUUCUGGGGGAUAACAGGAAAAGGAGUCAAAUUCAGGAAAGGGCAUGUGCCUUCUUUUUGAGCUCCAAAAGCUGCCACUGCAAAUGAGCUGCUUCUGCUCUCACCUUUGCAUUAGGUAACAUUUAAUUACUUUAUCUCUCAGGCAACUACUCAUGAAAUUAUGUUUCUGCAGAAAUUAAAGCACCUUCUUUGCCAGUCAUAACGUUGAGCUUAUUUACAUUAAAUGUGGAAUGAAGUCCUUAAAAAGUCAUAUACUCCACCUUCCUCUGCAAUGAGCAGAGACAUCUUCAACUAGAUCAGGUUGCUCAGAGCCCCAUCCAACCUGACCUUGAAUGCUUCCAGGGGUGGGGCAUUGACCACCCCUCUGGGCAAACUGGGCCAGUGUUUCACCACCCUCCUUGAAAAAAUUUCUUCCUUAUACCUGGUCUGAAUCUCCCUUCUUUUAGAUUAAAAUUACUACACCUUGUCCUGUCACAAAAGGCCUUGCUAAAAGGUCUGUUCCCAUCUUCCUUAUAAGACCACCUUCAGUAUUGAAAAGGCCGCAAUAACAUCUCCACACUGCCUUAUCUUCUCCAGGCUGAACAACCCCAACUCUCCCAGCCUGACCUCACAGCAGAGGGGCUCCAGCCUCUGACCUCCUGGUUCCCUGACCUCUGGACCUGCUCCAACAGGUCUGUGUCUCUCCUGUGCCGAGGACUCCAGAGCUGGAAGCAGUGCCCCAGGUGGGGUCUCACCAGAGCUGGGUAGAGCAAAGAAUCCCCUCCCUCACCCUGCUGGCCACGCUCCUUUUGACGCAGCCUUCUGUGCUGCAAGCACACGUUGUUGGCUCAUGUCCAGUUUUUCAUCCACCAGUACCCCCAAGUUCUCUCAAUCGUCCCCCAGCCUGUAUUGACUCCAGAGGUUGCCCUGACCCAGGUGCAGGACCUUGCACUUAGCCUUGUUGAAUAUCAUGAAGUUCACAUGGGCCCACUUCUCCAGCUUGCUCAGGUCCCUAUGAAUGGCAUCCCACCCCUCAGGCACGUCAACCACACCGCUCAGCUUGGUGUCAUCUGCAAACCUGCUGAGGGUGCACUCAAACCCACUGUCUACGUCACUGAUGAAGAUAUUAAACAGUACGGGUCCCAGUACGGACCCCUGAGGGACACCACUCAUCACCGGUCUCCACCUGGACAUCGAGCCAUUGACCAUGACCCUCUGGAUGUGACCAUCCAGCCAGUUCCUAUCCACCAAACAGUCCACCCAUCAAAUCCGUAUCUCUCCAGUUCAGAGAGAAGGAUAUUGUGGGGGACCGUGUCAAAGGCCUUACCGAGAUCCAGAUAGAUGACAUCCAUAGGUCUUCCCUUGCCCACUGGUGUAGUCACUCCAACUCAGAAGGCCACUGGGUUGGUCAGGCAGGACUUGCCCUUGCUGAAGCCAUGCUGGCUGCCUCAGAUCACCUCCCUGUCCCCCGUGUACCUUAGCAUAGCUUCUAGAAGGAUCUGUUCCAUGAUCUUCCCAUGCACAGAGGUGAGGCUGACACACCGGUAGUUCCCAGGGUCCUCCUUUCUAUCCUUUUCAAAAAAGGGGUGCAAUGUUUCCCUUCUUCCAGUCCCCAGGGGCUUCACCUGACUGCCAUGACUUUUCAAACGUCAUGGGGAGUGGCUUGGCAAUGACAUCAGCCAAUUCCCUCAGGACUCUUGGCUGCAGCUCAUCAGGUCCCAUAGACUUCUGUAUGUUCAGGUUCCUCAGCUGGUCAUGAACCUGAUCUUCCCUUGUAGUGGAAGGGACUUCACUUCUCCCAGUCCCUGUCUUGUGGUCCAUCCACUCGCGAUGUGUAGGAAGAGGGAUUGCCAGUGAAGACUGAGGCAAAAACGUUGUUGAGUACCUCAGCCUUCUCAUCGGUUGCUACCAGUUUGCCAGUCAUGUUCAUUUGGGGAAUACGCUGUCUUUGACCUUCCUUUUCUGGCUGACAUACCUGUAGAAGCCCUUAUUAUUCUCUGUGUGCCUUGCUGAGUUCAGCUUAAGCUGCGCCUUGGCCUUCCUGACCCCAUCCCUACACAACUGGCCAAUGUCCCUGUACUCUUCCCAGGACACCUGUCCAUGUUUCCACUGCCUAUGCAUGUCCUUCUUGCCCUUUAGUUUGACCAGCAGGCCUUGACUUAUCCAUGCUGGUCUCUUGCCUUCCUUUCCCAAUUUCUUACAGAUGGGGAUCUAGAGAAAAAUGAUACAUGUAAUUAGACAAGUUAUCAAAGAUGAUGGACACUGGUCAACAUUUCCACAAUGGAUCUUUUCCAGGAGAAAGUUCUACUGAACAUCUGGAUUGCCAGGCUAUUCCUGUGAGCUGUGGUCAGCAUUUCAAGGUUCUGACUGAACCUCAAUUUCACCACUGAAAUCAGAAAGGAAAUUUCAGAUUUUAAUACCAGAAGAUAUUAUUACAUGUGUCUACCCUGAUAUACUGUAUAAUGCAUGGCAGAUAAUUUUAUUAGUGGAUGAAAUAUUUUUUCCUGUUAAUUUCAAUGGGUGGAGUGGAGAAUCCAAGUUUAAAUAUAAGUGCAAAGAAACUUACCUUGCUAUCCUAGUCAACCUGUAAGUUUGGCAGUGAUAAAAUAAAUUUCUUAGGAAAACAAUAGGAUAGGUUCGUCUCUCCUUUGGACUUUCCAAAUCCCACUUGAAAGAACUGAAAAUUUGCACGGUUUUUCAAUCUUCUGUUAGAAAUUUGGAUUCUCUAGUAUUUAUACUAUUAAAUGGCUACACAGUGUGCACUAUGAACUCUGUUCAACUGUAUUACCAUUCAUUCACAAAUAAAACAUGCUUGCUGCCUUUGAGCUAAA